GUUAUUGUGGCUCAGUUGGUUGAGCAUGGCGCUUGCUACGCCAAGGUUUUUGGGUUCGAUUCCCACAGGGGCC
rnacentral:tRNA from 1 species